CCUACGGGGGGCAGCAGUGAGGAAUAUUGGUCAAUGGACGAGAGUCUGAACCAGCCAAGUAGCGUGAAGGAUGACUGCCCUAUGGGUUGUAAACUUCUUUUAUAUGGGAAUAAAACGUUCCAUGUGUGGGCUUUUGUAUGUACCAUAUGAAUAAGGAUCGGCUAACUCCGUGCCAGCAGCCGCGGUAAUACGGAGGAUCCGAGCGUUAUCCGGAUUUCUUGGGUUUAAAGGGAGCGUAGGUGGCUUGUUAAGUCAGUUGUGAAAGUUUGCGGCUCAACCGUAAAAUUGCAGUUGAAACUGGGAGUAUAGAGUACAGUAGAGGUGGGCGGAAGUCGGGGUGGAGCGGUGACAUGCUGAGAUAUCACGAAGAAAGCCGAUUGCGAAGGCAGCCCACUGGACUGCAACUGACACUGAGGCUCGAAAGUGUGGGUAUCAAACAGGAGUAGAUACCCUUGUAGUC
rnacentral:rRNA from 1 species